UGGUGGAGUGAUUUGUCUGCUUAAUUGCGAUAACGAACGAGACCUUAACCUGCUAAAUAGCCAGGCUAGCUUUGGCUGGUCGCCGGCUUCUUAGAGGGACUGUCAGUGUCUAACUGACGGAAGUUUGAGGCAAUAACA
rnacentral:rRNA from 1 species